rnacentral:rRNA from 1 species
CUCAGGACGAACGCUGGCGGCGUGCCUAAUACAUGCAAGUAGAACGCUGACUACUUUAGCUUGCUAGAGUAGAAGGAGUUGCGAACGGGUGAGUAACGCGUAGGUAACCUGCCUACUAGCGGGGGAUAACUAUUGGAAACGAUAGCUAAUACCGCAUAACAGUGUUUAACACAUGUUAGAUGCUUGAAAGAUGCAAUUGCAUCACUAGUAGAUGGACCUGCGUUGUAUUAGCUAGUUGGUGGGGUAACGGCCCACCAAGGCGACGAUACAUAGCCGACCUGAGAGGGUGAUCGGCCACACUGGGACUGAGACACGGCCCAGACUCCUACGGGAGGCAGCAGUAGGGAAUCUUCGGCAAUGGGGGCAACCCUGACCGAGCAACGCCGCGUGAGUGAAGAAGGUUUUCGGAUCGUAAAGCUCUGUUGUAAGAGAAGAACGUGUGUGAGAGUGGAAAGUUCACACAGUGACGGUAACUUACCAGAAAGGGACGGCUAACUACGUGCCAGCAGCCGCGGUAAUACGUAGGUCCCGAGCGUUGUCCGGAUUUAUUGGGCGUAAAGCGAGCGCAGGCGGUUUAAUAAGUCUGAAGUUAAAGGCAGUGGCUUAACCAUUGUUCGCUUUGGAAACUGUUAAACUUGAGUGCAGAAGGGGAGAGUGGAAUUCCAUGUGUAGCGGUGAAAUGCGUAGAUAUAUGGAGGAACACCGGUGGCGAAAGCGGCUCUCUGGUCUGUAACUGACGCUGAGGCU